UACGGAGGAUCCGAGCGUUAUCCGGAUUUAUUGGGUUUAAAGGGUGCGCAGGCGGGAGAUUAAGUCGGCGGUGAAAUUUUGCAGCUCAACUGUAAAAGUGCCUUCGAAACUGGUUUCCUUGAGUGUGGAUGAAGUAGGCGGAAUUUGUGGUGUAGCGGUGAAAUGCUUAGAUAUCACGAGGAACUCCGAUUGCGCAGGCAGCUUACUAAACCACUACUGACGCUCAGGCACGAAGGCGUGGGGAUCAAACAGGAUUAGAUACCCAGGUAGUCCCU
rnacentral:rRNA from 1 species